UCUUCCGUCGUCCUACUCUCGCCGCUCACGCCGCCGUCUCUCUCCCGUCGUCCUACUCUCACCGCUCACGCUGCCGUCACCAAAUCUUCAUCAUCAUCGUCACAGCCAUCAAACACAAGCUCACUACCGCACUACCAUCAUCCUAUUUCCACCGUCAAACACAAGCUCUCACCACCUCUGUCAUCCUCACUCUCUCACGAUCUCCGCCGACAUCGUCACCGUCGGCAUCCUCAUCCUAUUUUCAUAGUCUCCUCACCCAAUCCCAGCUAUUCCGGCAAUCUAGGCAGAGGAAAUCUAGGCAGCAAUGGCGACCAAGAGGACCUCUAGGUUUCCAAGCUUUUCUUCAAGGAAACCCUCAAAAGGUUGCACAGUUUCUUAGCGGCAUUAACUGGGCAUUGCUUGUAUGACAAUGGGAGCAAUUCUUAUUGACAUUAGAACCUUCAGUGUUGCAUAGGUUGUCAAGAAAUCAAGAGAAAUAAAGAGAUGCAGUCGGGUUCGAGCCUAGAAACACUUCUAAAUGAACAAGGAACAGAAUUAAUAGCAACAACAGUCUUGUAAAUAUGAAAACUAUAUUUUGUAAUCAGAAUUGUGAUUGACAAUUAUGUGAAUUGUAAAUAUGAAAUAUAUGAAUUGUAAUUGGUAGUUA